rnacentral:lncRNA from 1 species
GUCUGGUUCCUGAAGCCUGGGAGGUGUCACGUGCAGGGUGACCAGCUAGUGGGAGCCAGGAAAGACAGAGCUGGCCGCCCGGUGACCCUGCCAGGAGACCUCGUGGGGUCUUCCCAGGAAGGGUAGGGGGCUCUCUCUCCAGCAGGAAGGUCCUGCAGGCCGGCCAGCCUGCACCCCAACCCCUCCCCCACCCCAGUCCAGCACCCAGCCCCUCACCUGGCCACUCCCUGAAGUUUGUUGCAAAUUCUCAGAGUCAGGAGGGAGCUGGGCCAGCGGCUGUCUGUCGGCACAGCAGUGACUCAGACAAGACAGCCUGGGGCCCCGGCGGCGCUCCUGGUGUGCAGGCCCCCGCGGCGGCUCUGGUCUCACUCCAGCCCACGCUGGAAAACAGCCUUGCUCCCACUCGUCUGGCCCAGCUCGCCCUGCCAGACUGGAUUGGAUCCCGGCCUGUGCCACUGUC